rnacentral:rRNA from 1 species
UACGUAGGAUGCAAGCGUUGUCCGGAUUUACUGGGCGUAAAGCGCGCGCAGGCGGCAUGGCAAGUAAGGUGUGAAAUCCAUCUGCUCAACGGGUGGGGUGCACUUUAGACUGCCAAGCUAGAGGUCGGUAGAGGGGUGGAAUUGCUGGUGUAGCGGUGAAAUGCGUAGAGAUCAGCAGGAACACCCGUGGCGAAGGCGGCCCCUGGGUCAAGAUUGACGCUCAUGCACGAAGCGUGGGAGCAACAGG